UACGUAGGGACCGAGCGUUGUCCGGAAUCAUUGGGCGUAAAGAGCGUGUAGGCGGCUUGCUAAGUCUUGCGUGAAAUCUCGGGGCUCAACCCCGAGCGGUCGUGGGAAACUGGCAGGCUAGAGUGCGGGAGAGGAGAAUGGAAUUCCUGGUGUAGCGGUGAAAUGCGCAGAUAUCAGGAAGAACACCCGUGGCGAAGGCGGUGCUCUGGGCCGGAACUGACGCUGAGGAGCGAAAGCGUGGGUAGCAAACAGG
rnacentral:rRNA from 1 species